rnacentral:rRNA from 1 species
GAUGAACGCUGGCGGCGUGCCUAACACAUGCAAGUCGAGCGGCAGCGAGGGGUGCUUGCACCCUGUCAGCGAGCGGCGGACGGCUGAGUAACGCGUGGGAACGUGCCCCAAAGUGAGGAAUAACUGCCCGAAAGGGUAGCUAAUACCGCAUAUUAUCUUCGGAUCAAAGGAUUUAUCCGCUUUGGGAGCGGCUCGCGUCGGAUUAGGUAGUUGGUGAGGUAAUGGCUCACCAAGCCGACGAUCCGUAGCUGGUCUGAGAGGAUGACCAGCCAGACUGGAACUGAGACACGGUCCAGACUCCUACGGGAGGCAGCAGUGAGGAAUCUUCCACAAUGGGCGAAAGCCUGAUGGAGCAACGCCGCGUGCAGGACGAAGGCCUUCGGGUUGUAAACUGCUUUUAUAAGUGAGGAAUAUGACGGUAACUUAUGAAUAAGGAUCGGCUAACUACGUG